rnacentral:rRNA from 1 species
CAGUCGCCGCGGUAAUACGAAGGGUGCAAGCGUUAAUCGGAAUUACUGGGCGUAAAGCGUGCGUAGGCGGUGAGUUAAGUCUGCUGUGAAAUCCCCGGGCUCAACCUGGGAAUGGCAGUGGAUACUGGCUCGCUAGAGUGUGUCAGAGGAUGGUGGAAUUCCCGGUGUAGCGGUGAAAUGCGUAGAGAUCGGGAGGAAUAUCAGUGGCGAAGGCGGCCAUCUGGGACAACACUGACGCUGAGGCACGAAAGCGUGGGGAGCAAACAGGAUUAGAUACCCCUGUAGUCCCUGUCUCUUAUAC